rnacentral:rRNA from 1 species
UACGAAGGGGGCUAGCGUUGCUCGGAAUCACUGGGCGUAAAGCGCACGUAGGCGGCUUUUUAAGUCAGGGGUGAAAUCCUGGAGCUCAACUCCAGAACUGCCUUUGAUACUGGGAAGCUUGAGUCCGGAAGAGGUGAGUGGAACUCCGAGUGUAGAGGUGAAAUUCGUAGAUAUUAGGAAGAGCACCAGUGGCGAAGGCGGCUCACUGGUCCGGUACUGACGCUGAGGUGCGAAAGCGUGGGGAGCAAACAGG